CCUACGGGUGGCAGCAGUGGGGAAUAUUGGGCAAUGGGCGCAAGCCUGACCCAGCAACGCCGCGUGAAGGAAGAAGGCUUUCGGGUUGUAAACUUCUUUUCUCAGGGACGAAGAAAGUGACGGUACCUGAGGAAUAAGCCACGGCUAACUACGUGCCAGCAGCCGCGGUAAUACGUAGGUGGCAAGCGUUAUCCGGAUUUACUGGGUGUAAAGGGAGCGUAGACGGCGCUGCAAGUCCGGAGUGAAAGCCCAUGGCUUAACCAUGGUACUGCUCUGGAAACUGUGGAGCUUGAGUGCGGGAGGGGCAGGCGGAAUUCCUAGUGUAGCGGUGAAAUGCGUAGAUAUUAGGAGGAACACCGGCGGCGAAGGCGGCCUGCUGGACCGUAACUGACGUUGAGGCUCGAAAGCGUGGGGAGCAAACAGGAUUAGAUACCACAGUAGUC
rnacentral:rRNA from 1 species